rnacentral:rRNA from 1 species
CAGUCGCCGCGGGAAUACGAAGGGUGCAAGCGUUAAUCGGAAUUACUGGGCGUAAAGCGUGCGUAGGCGGUUUGUUAAGUCUGUUGUGAAAUCCCCGGGCUCAACCUGGGAAUGGCAAUGGAUACUGGCAAGCUAGAGUGUGUCAGAGGAUGGUGGAAUUCCCGGUGUAGCGGUGAAAUGCGUAGAGAUCGGGAGGAACAUCAGUGGCGAAGGCGGCCAUCUGGGACAACACUGACGCUGAGGCACGAAAGCGUGGGGAGCAAACAGGAUUAGAUACCCGGGUAGUCCCUGUCUCUUAUAC